CAUUGCAGCAGCUUCAGAGGCGAGAGAGAGAUGCUGCGCAGAGCAGAGGAUGCAGGGUUUCCCUAGGGUUGGCCUGUCUUUUUCUUGCACCAAGAUGUCACAGGCUGGACCCAUCCGCAUCCCUUGGGGACUUCCAAGUUCACAAUCCUUCCUGCAAGAGAGAGGAUCGGAGCAUCUCCGGUGCCAAAGAACUCGGCUGAAGAAUCAG